UUUGGGGGGACGCGGGGAAAGAAAACGACGACAGACAGCACUUUCUGCUGCCUCUAAAAGAGAAGGGAGACAGGUUCCUUCAUAUCUGGCAAGGACCCUCCAGUUUUCGGAGCAGGGGGAGCGGAACUUAAGGUCCCUCUCUCCCAUAACUGAACUGGACAGGCCAGAGGAGAACCGCAAAGAUUUCCCUAAGGCCCACGCGAAGGACAGGCACCCAGAGGGAAGGCGGAUGGUGGAGCACUGGAAGAGGACAGAUGGAAAGGAGAAACAUGCUAUGAAUGAAAAUGUACAAGAGGCCUCGUGUACCAGUCCUAUGCACUCACUAACCCGGAGAAACCCCUGUUCGUACUUUGCAGCCAAGUCAGCUCUAGGAAUCCGAUUUUGGAACAUUCAGUGACUGGAAUGACGAUGGAAGUUUAUAGGAAAAGUUUUCUGGAAAAUACUAGGUGAGAUCAAAGAGAGAGCUUCUGCCACCUCGCAGGCAUAAAAACCUCCUACUUUGGCCCAGCUUAGCUUCCGAUCACAGAUCACACUAGGAUUCCUGCCUCUCCCCACGCCCAAUCAGAACCAGCUCUUCUCUGAUGCCAAAUACAAAGAAACAGACAACAUUUGCCCCUGCACUCUCCAUCCAUUAAUAUGGACUAGAACCCAUCUCCCCUACCCCAUAUGGAUCAGGACUAUUUCUACUUCUUCUGCUCCCCUCAAUACAGAUUAGGACCAUUUCAGCUUCUGUUCACUCCCUCCCUCCCAACAUAGGCCAGUGCCUCCUCUGCUUCUGCAUUUCAUCAGGGACAUUACUCAAAAUCUGUUUGGAACCAAAGCCCACCCGAGACACGGUGGCCAUUGUGUCUAUGACCCUAGCUAAAACAGUCAUACUCUGGAGCCUGAGCUGGAGAAUGGAACUAGGACAACCCCCCACAAGUUUGUGCCCACACCUUGUUCCAUCUGAGUGUCUUGGGUUUUGUUUGUUUGUUUUGUUUUUUGAUUAUUAUUAUUUUUUUACACAAA